AGAGUUUGAUCCUGGCUCAGAACGAACGCUGGCGGCGUGGCUAAGGCAUGCAAGUCGAACGGACCCUUCGGGGUCAGUGGCGAACGGGUGAGGAAUAGAUGGACAACGUACCCUGGACACGGGGAUAGCGGCGGGGGAAACCCCUUUGCGAAAGUGCCGGUAAUACCCGAUGACCCCGCGGAAUCGCAUGAUUUUGCGGGCAAAAGCUCCGACGGUCUGGGAGCGGUCCAUCUCCUAUCAGCUAGUUGGUGAGGUAACGGCUCACCAAGGCAACGACGGGUAGCGGGCGUGAGAGCGUGGCCCGCCACAUCGGGACUGAGACACUGCCCGGACACCUACGGGUGGCUGCAGCAACGAAUAUUCCGCAAUGGACGCAAGUCUGACGGAGCGACGCCGCGUGUAGGAAGAAGUCCUUCGGGAUGUAAACUACUGUCAGGGGUUAGGAACACCGACCAGCCCCAAAGGAAGCACCGGCUAACUCCGUGCCAGCAGCCGCGGUAAUACGGAGGGUGCAAGCGUUGUUCGGAAUCACUGGGCUUAAAGGGCGUGUAGGCGGGGCGGAAAGUGUCGGGUGAAAUCCCACGGCUCAACCGUGGAACUGCUUGGCAAACUUCCGUUCUUGAGGCAGGUAGAGGUGACUGGAACGACUGGUGGAGCGGUGAAAUGCGUAGAUAUCAGUUGGAACGCCGGAGGCGAAAGCGGGUCACUGGGCCUGUCCUGACGCUGAGACGCGAAAGCGUGGGGAGCGAACAGGAUUAGAUACCCUGGUAGUCG
rnacentral:rRNA from 1 species